rnacentral:rRNA from 1 species
UCUGCCCUUUGGCCUGGAAUAACACGAGGAAACUUGUGCUAAUACCGGAUAAGUCUUUACGGAGAAAGCUUUAUGCACCAUUGGAUGAGCCUGCACUUGAUUAGUUUGUUGGUGGGGUAAUGGCCUACCAAGACUGUGAUCAAUAGCUGAUUUGAGAGGAUGAUCAGCCACAUUGGGACUGAGACACGGCCCAAACUCCUACGGGAGGCAGCAGUGGGGAAUCUUGCACAAUGGAGGAAACUCUGAUGCAGCGAUGCCGCGUGAGUGAAGAAGGCCUUUGGGUUGUAAAGCUCUUUCGUCGGGGAAGAAAAUGACUGUACCCGAAUAAGAAGGUCCGG